rnacentral:rRNA from 1 species
AUUGAACGCUGGCGGCAGGCCUAACACAUGCAAGUCGAGCGGCGCGGCGGACGGGUAAGUAAGGCCUGGGAAUCUGCCUGGUAGUGGGGGAUAACGUCCGGAAACGGGCGCUAAUACCGCAUCCUAUCAGAUUAGCCUAGGUCGGAUUAGCUAGUUGGUGGGGUAAAGGCCUACCAAGGCGACGAUCCGUAGCUGGUCUGAGAGGGUGAUCAGUCACACUGGAACUGAGACACGGUCCAGACUCCUACGGGAGGCAGCAGUGGGGAAUAUUGGACAAUGGGCGAAAGCCUGAUCCAGCCAUGCCGCGUGUGUGAAGAAGGUCUUCGGAUUGUAAAGCACUUUAAGUUGGGAGGCGUUACCAACAGAAUAAGCACCGGCUAACUUCGUGCCAGCAGCCGCGGUAAUUC